rnacentral:rRNA from 1 species
UGAACGGCAAAACGAAAGCUUAACUGUCUCCUUAGAUUAAUCAAUGAAAUUGAUCUCUCCGUGCAGAAGCGGAGAUAUCUUUAUAAGACAAAAAGACCCCAUGGAGCUUCAAAUCUAAAUUAGUCAUAUGUACUAAAAAUAUAAUAAACAAUUUAAUGUAAGAUUUUGGGUUGGGGCGACCGCGGAGUAAACUUUAACCUCCGAGACAAAUAAUUAAGAAAGACAUUUCAAAAUAAUAAAAUAAUUAAUGCACUUGAUCCAAUAUUUGAUCAACGAACCAAGUUACCCUGGGGAUAACAGCGCAAUCCUUUUAGAGAGUCCAUAUCGACAAGAGGGUUUACGACCUCGAUGUUGGAUCAGGGCCCCCAAAUGGUGCAGCAACUAUUAAAGGUUCGUUUGUUCAACGAUUAAAGCCCUACGUGAUCUGAGUU